AGCGAACGUUUGCGGCGGGCCUAACACAUGCAAGUCGAACGCACUAGCAAUAGUGAGUGGCGCACGGGUGCGUAACACGUGGGUAAUCAACCCUUCAGCCUGGGAUAACGACUCGAAAGGGUCGCUAAUACCGGAUACGGCGCGAGAGGCUUCGGCUUCUCACGAGAAAGCCACGCAAGGGGCACUGAAGGACGAGCCUGCGGCCCAUCAGCUAGUUGGUGAGGUAAGAGCUCACCAAGGCUAAGACAGGUAGCUGGUCUGAGAGGAUGAUCAGCCACACUGGAACUGAGACACGGUCCAGACUCCUACGGGAGGCAGCAGUGGGGAAUAUUGCGCAAUGGGCGAAAGCCUGACGCAGCCACGCCGCGUGAGCGAUGAAGGCC
rnacentral:rRNA from 1 species